rnacentral:rRNA from 1 species
GACGUAGGGCGCAAGCGUUGUCCGGAUUUAUUGGGCGUAAAGAGCUCGUAGGCGGCUCGUUGCGUCGGCUGUGAAAACCCGCAGCUCAACUGUGGGCUUGCAGCCGAUACGGGCGGGCUGGAGUUCGGUAGGGGAGACUGGAAUUCCUGGUGGUAGCGGUGAAAAUGCGCAGAUAUCAGGAGGAACACCGGUGGCGAAGGCGGGUCUCUGGGCCGAUACUGACGCUGAGGAGCGAAAGCGUGGGGAGCGAACAGG